CUUUCCUUUCAGCCAGGCUGAAUGGGGGUCACCAGUUACUAAGUAACUACAGGGACACGGCUCUGGUUACUUGGCAACCCUGCCUUCAUCACCUAACAACUACUUUUGAUAUUGGCUGCCUGUUGCCAUGGGGAAUAAGGGAUCAGUAAACAGAAUGACUGGAGUCCACCUCAGGCCUGAGACAAUGCGAAGAAAGCUGAGAAAAUAGGUAUCGCUUCGGUUUAGUUUACGGGAAUGGCCCAAGUAAUUGAUUUGGUACCAUGGCCUGAAGAUGGACAUCCUGUCUACACGGCCCCAGGUGUGCUACUGCCCCUGGACCCUAAGAAGGUCAUGCUGGCUGGAGUAAAGGACAGGCUUUUCCACCCAGACCUGCCAACCUUACGGCAAAUGGACAUGGACUCAGCAGGGAACAAACUCCCAGAUGAACAUUCCAGGACAACCACUGCAUGCACCAAAGAGGAUUUUGCCAAUGCAUCCUUCACUCUGGUGGGAGUCCCCAACAAGCGCCUCCCAUCCCUGGGGAUGACCGAGCUGGGCCAGUCACUCACUCCAAGGUACCGAGCAGGGAAGAUGGCUCCUCUCACUCCCAGCACUAACCACGAGGAAUGGCCAAGCUACACACGGGCUAUGGAUGACUGGUCACGAUUCGUCUCCUCUGCUGGAGAAUUCAAGCUACCCAGUGUGAAUAAGAAAGUGCUCGGGUUCAGCUGUUAUGCUGUUAGGCACUUAAAGCCAGAUGUCUCUCAGACGUGGAGGUACUGCCUCAGCCAGAACCCCAGCCUGGAUAGAUAUGGACAGAAGCCCCUCCCUUACAACAGCACCAAUAUCUUCAGGAGCUUUGGGUCAGCUUACAGGUUAACAUCUUUGAGCCUGUAAGAAGCACACGUGCAUACCAUGGCUGUAAAGACUUUACAAACAGCAUUGUGGCUACUGAAGCAGAGUAUAUUAAUACCACUCUGUGGCCGAGAAGUUUACAGCACAACACUCAGGGACUUUAAAACCGCUCUCACUACCUCCAGCCCUGGUGCUAGCCAGCAGAAAACAGGAACGGGUGUGGAGCAAGAGGUGAACCUACUUGGCCUCUGACAGCCAGCUCCAGCGGCCGAGGCGCACAGGAUCCCAGGGCAGCCCUGGGGAAGGGCAGGAGAUACACAUUGGUUGCACUUCCUACCAAAU